AACAGACCGACUAUUGCAGUGGAACUCUCUUAGGGAAGGGUCCAAGCUGCUUCUCCUUGAAGACAACAACAUACCAGCCCCAACCUCACAGAUGGUGUUAGUCAUCCUGAUAAUGCACCUCAGUUAAUAUUCAAGUCGGGAUCCAGCUACACUUACUUGCUUUGUGCAACAGUCUUUUUUUUGGAAGUGUUGGCUGCUCACAGUUCUACAUAUGUUGGAGAGAUCAGAGAUUCUGUCGACCUGGUUCCCAGCCCUGGCCCUAUGACUGAUGGAUGACAAGUGUACCAGUGAGAACUGAAACUUGCAG
rnacentral:lncRNA from 1 species